GCCCAAGGCACAAAAUGUAAUAUAACCUAUUGGAUAUCAUAUUUUCUCUGUGUUGAAACAAUUUUUGGUGACAGAGCCAAGAACUGAUAUAAAUUUACAAGCAAGAGAAAGGAAAAAUUCUCAGGCAUUAGACGUUGCCCUCUUACCACUAGACUGAAGAUCCCCGGGGGAGAAAGAACCUCAGAAACGAAUAGGUAAACCGUGGUUGAGGAAUGUUCUAAUGCAUCCAUCCAAUCCUGCAGUGACAACCACGAGACCCCACAAAUGACUUGAACUCAAUGCACUUUGCCAAGCACUCUUCAAGAUCUUGUAUUCGGACUUACAUAUAGAAGGGGAGACAGUUGAAGGAGGAUUUGAGUCGGGCAGUUUCUCCUCUGGCCACGUUGCAGAGCUCUUUAGUAGAGAAUCCAAGAAAGACGCACGUCCUAAGGAGAAGCACUCUUGUAAAGAUGAAGUCUUUGGCAAUGAAUUCUCGUUGACAUCAGCGUUUGCUAAGACAUUUCCUGGUAGUGUCGUUACUGGAUUGGUUUUAAAGCCAGACCAAGGUAUGGCAACUGAUGCAUUUUGGGAAAAGAAACUCUCUGAUGAACGGACUUUCUUUGGUUGGCUAGUCAACCCGUCCUCGUGACUAUAGUUCCAGAUAUAAACAUUUGAAUCUUCAGUGACAGCGAGAAUGUGUUUCCCAUCUGAUGUGAAUGAUGCAGGACAUUGGCUAUCAAAUUUUUUUGUUCCUUUGAAUUUGCAGAUGAUGUUGGAUCCACAAAGUAUUCUAACUUGGGAAUCAGCAGAAGUAACCAUGACUUUGCUCGAAUCAUUCGGGCAGUACUGAAAUCCAGUUACUCUCUUGUUAGUAAGCUUCUUCUUUCCUUGCAGGCAUACCUGAAGGCCCAUCUGCAAAUGAUUAUCAACAACAUCAUAAAAACGGCAAUUGCCAUCCAUAUAUCCCACAACACCUCCCUUUCCAUCAGGACUAUAACAAAGAGCGGUCACUAUUUCCUUUACAUCAGUCCAAUCAAUCACUCGACAACUAUGCACCUCCCA
rnacentral:misc_RNA from 1 species